GAUCCAGACUCCUACGGGAGGCAGCAGUGGGGAAUAUUGCACAAUGGGGGAAACCCUGAUGCAGCGACGCCGCGUGGGCGAGGAAGUAUUUCGGUAUGUAAAGCCCUAUCGGCAGGGAAGAAGAAAUGACGGUACCUGAAUAAGAAGCACCGGCUAAAUACGUGCCAGCAGCCGCGGUAAUACGUAUGGUGCAAGCGUUAUCCGGAAUGACUGGGUGUAAAGGGAGCGUAGACGGUUGUACAAGUCUGAUGUGAAAGCCCACGGCUCAACUGUGGGAGUGCAUUGGAAACUGUAGAACUAGAGUAUCGGAGAGGCAAGUGGAAUUCCUAGUGUAGCGGUGAAAUGCGUAGAUAUUAGGAGGAACACCAGUGGCGAAGGCGGCUUGCUGGACGAAAACUGACGUUGAGGCUCGAAAGCGUGGGGAGCAAACAGGAUUAGAUACCCGUGUA
rnacentral:rRNA from 1 species